UACGGGGGGGGCAAGCGUUGUUCGGAAUUACUGGGCGUAAAGGGCUCGUAGGCGGCCAACUAAGUCAGACGUGAAAUCCCCAGGCUCAACCUGGGAACUGCGUCUGAUACUGGAUGGCUUGAAUCCGGGAGAGGGAUGCAGAAUUCCAGGUGUAGCGGUGAAAUGCGUAGAUAUCUGGAGGAAUACCGGUGGCGAAGGCGGCAUCCUGGACCGGCAUUGACGCUGAGGAGCGAAAGCGUGGGUAGCGAACAGG
rnacentral:rRNA from 1 species